UACGAAGGGGGCGAGCGUUGUUCGGAAUUACUGGGCGUAAAGGGCGCGCAGGCGGUCAAUUCAGUUAGGUGUGAAAGCCCCGGGCUUAACCUGGGAACUGCACUUAAUACUGAUUGACUAGAAAACGGAAGAGGAGAGUGGAAUUCCCAGUGUAGAGGUGAAAUUCGUAGAUAUUGGGAAGAACACCAGUGGCGAAAGCGGCUCUCUGGUCCGAUUUUGACGCUGAGGCGCGAAAGCGUGGGGAGCAAACAGG
rnacentral:rRNA from 1 species